AGGAGGCCCACUUUCUGUCAGAGUGGAGCGAACGAGACUAGGAAGUCAGAUGGAUGGUUUGACCAGUUGCGUGUUAGCAAAUUCACUUGUUCUUGGGAAGCAGGUUAAGUAGCAGAAAGUCCAGGAAAGAGAAAGGUUCAAGAAGGACAAGAGAAGUGCUUGUGGGGAAGCUGAUGGUUGAAGGAGAUGGAGGAAAGAAGUGAGUGAGCGAGAGAGCAGCAUUAAUGAGUACGUACAUGCACAGUAGAAACCAAAUAGCAUCAGUUAAGACCUAACAAUUAGAAACAUUUCCAAGCUAAGCACUAAACAGAAUGGGAACUGGACUUGUUCUGAUUGCAUCUUUAAGUUAUGGGAAAUGUGUUUUAUUUGUGGUGCCUCAGGAAGGUGGGCUGACUCGAGUGGUGAAGCCCGCAGCUACCCAGGACCCACAUGCUUGGCCCAGGCCAUGUCCCUUGUCCUUGAAA
rnacentral:lncRNA from 1 species